rnacentral:rRNA from 1 species
AUUGAACGCUGGCGGCAGGCCUAACACAUGCAAGUCGAGCGGAUGAGUGGAGCUUGCUCCAUGAUUCAGCGGCGGACGGGUGAGUAAUGCCUAGGAAUCUGCCUGGUAGUGGGGGACAACGUUUCGAAAGGAACGCUAAUACCGCAUACGUCCUACGGGAGAAAGUGGGGGAUCUUGGGACCGAAAGCUAUCAGAUGAGCCUAGGUCGGAUUAGCUAGUUGGGGAGGUAAAGGCUCACCAAGGCGACGAUCCGUAACUGGUCUGAGAGGAUGAUCAGUCACACUGGAACUGAGACACGGUCCAGACUCCUACGGGAGGCAGCAGUGGGGAAUAUUGGACAAUGGGCGAAAGCCUGAUCCAGCCAUGCCGCGUGUGUGAAGAAGGUCUUCGGAUUGUAAAGCACUUUAAGUUGGGAGGAAGGGCAGUAAGUUAAUACCUUGCUGUUUUGACGUUACCAACAGAAUAAGCACAGGCUAACUUCGUGCCAGCCGCCGCCGUAAUAC